ACCCGCUGAACUUAAGCAUAUCAAUAAGCGGAGGAAAAGAAACCAACAGGGAUUGCCCUAGUAACGGCGAGUGAAGCGGCAACAGCUCAAAUUUGAAAUCUGGCUCUUUUAGAGUCCGAGUUGUAAUUUGCAGAGGGCGCUUUGGCUUUGGCAGCGGUCCAAGUUCCUUGGAACAGGACGUCACAGAGGGUGAGAAUCCCGUACGUGGUCGCUGGCUAUUGCCGUGUAAAGCCCCUUCGACGAGUCGAGUUGUUUGGGAAUGCAGCUCUAAAUGGGAGGUACAUUUCUUCUAAAGCUAAAUAUUGGCCAGAGACCGAUAGCGCACAAGUAGAGUGAUCGAAAGAUGAAAAGCACUUUGGAAAGAGAGUCAAACAGCACGUGAAAUUGCUGAAAGGGAAGCGCUUGCAGCCAGACUUGCUUACAGUUGCUCAUCCGGGCUUUUGCCCGGUGCACUCUUCUGUAGGCAGGCCAGCAUCAGUUUGGGCGGUAGGAUAAAGGUCUCUGUCACGUACCUCUCUUCGGGGAGGCCUUAUAGGGGAGACGACAUACUACCAGCCUGGACUGAGGUCCGCGCAUCUGCUAGGAUGCUGGCGUAAUGGCUGU
rnacentral:rRNA from 1 species